UUUUAGUCCAAGCGCUCGGAACCUUUUAGCUUAUCUGAAAUUCUGAGUCGAAUAAUUGGAUCAGCUCUUCGCAAUAAUCGCCACAAAAUAUCUACAAACCCUAAUAGGAGCUUCUUAAGAUUAGGGUUGAUUAGAUCCAUCUCCUGCUAAUUUUGAUUUUGUGAACAAUAGUAGGGNUGAACAAUAGUAGGGGGUUGCGGCUGAGCAAUGUACAACGGAAUAGGAUUACAGACCCCGAGAGGGUCAGGGACUAAUGGCUACAUACAGAACAACAAAUUUUUUGUGAAGCCAAAGACUGGGAAGGUUGCUAAUAACAUGAAGGGAUUUGAGGCCGACCAGGGCACUGCUGGUAUCACCAAGAAGCCCAAUAAGGAUAUUCUUGAGCAUGACCGGAAGCGCCAAAUCCAUCUCAAACUUGCUGUGCUUGAAGACAAGCUUAUCGAUCAAGGAUAUACUGAUGCUGAAAUUGCUGAGAAGCUUGAGGAAGCUCGGAAAACUUUGGAAGCUGCUUCAGCCUCCGAGGAAAGUGGUGGACCUGCUGCUAUUGUUGUUACGGAGAAAAAGGUUUUCGAUACACAGUCCCAUCAAAUUGCUGCUAGAAAGGAAAAACAGAUGGAAACAUUAAGGGCGGCUUUGGGGAUCAGAAUGUCUGAACCCAGCGAACCAAAUGCUGAUGUUUUGGAUGAUGGACUACAAAACGGUAGAAAGAAUGGGCCAACUGAUGAUAGUAAGUGGGGUGAGAAACGUGAACACGCCUUUUUGGACAGAGACUUUAGCAGGAAGAAAUCUAUGGUUGAAAAUCAAAAGGCUGAAAAGAACGAUAAGAAAAAGAAUAAGAAGAAAGAAAGAGAUGGAGUUGAUGAUUUAAAACACUACAAGAAGGGAGAAAGUGAUGAUGAGACUGACACUGAUACUGACUCAGACCCUCACAAUGGCAAGAAGAACAAAUCUUCAAAGAAGCAUGUGACAAGCCAAAGACAGGACACUGGUAGCGAUGAUUCUGCUAGUGAUGAUGACACUGAUUCUGACGAUGUGAGGAAGAAGAACAGAACUUUGGAUAAAUCUGCAAAAAGUAAAAUACAUGACAGUGACAGUGAUGAUAACUCUGAUUCUGGCUAUGGGAGGAAGAAGAAAAGCAGAACCUUGAAGAAACCCGUGAAAGGCAGAAGCAGAAGACAUGACAGUGAAACAGAUGAUUCUACUAGUGAUGAUAGCACUGAUUCCGACACAGGGAGGAAGAAGAAAAGCAGUACUUUGGAGAAUCCCAUGAAAAGCAGAAACAGAAGACAUGACAGCAACGCUGAUGAUUCUACUAGCGAUGAUGGCACUGAUUCUGACAGUGGGAGGAAGAAGAAGGGCAGAACUCUGGAGAAACCCACAAUUAGCAAAAGGCAUGACAGUGAUGAUUCUGCUAGCGAUGAUGAUGUUGAUUUUGACAAAGUGAAGAAGAACAAGAACAGAGCUUUGGAGGAACCCGUGAAACGCAGAAGAAAUGACAGUGACGAUUCUAGUACUGAUGAUGAUAUUGAUUACAAUGAGAAGAAGAACAAGAACAGAACUUCAGAGAAGUACAAGAGAAGUGAAAGACAUCGUAAUGAUGUAGAUGAUUCCAUGAUU
rnacentral:misc_RNA from 1 species